GACAGAGGAGCCAAGCGUUGUCCGGAUUGACUGGGCGUAAAGCGCACGCAGGCGGUUGCGCGCGUGGGGUGUGAAAGCUGGUGGCUUAACUGCCAGAUGCCAUCCCAUACGGCGCGACUCGAGCCCGUGAGAGGUCCACGGAAUUGCCGGUGUAGUGGUGAAAUUCGUAGAUAUUCGCAAGAACACCAGUGGCGAAGGCGGCUCACUGGCCCGGUACUGACGCUGAGGUGCGAAAGCGUGGGGAGCAAACAGG
rnacentral:rRNA from 1 species